rnacentral:rRNA from 2 species
GGUCGAUGAACGGUGCUUGCACUGUGAUUCAACUUAAAACGAGUGGCGGACGGGUGAGUAACACGUGGGUAACCUGCCCUUAAGUGGGGGAUAACAUUUGGAAACAGAUGCUAAUACCGCAUAAAUCCAAGAACCGCAUGGUUCUUGGCUGAAAGAUGGCGUAAGCUAUCGCUUUUGGAUGGACCCGCGGCGUAUUAGCUAGUUGGUGAGGUAACGGCUCACCAAGGCGAUGAUACGUAGCCGAACUGAGAGGUUGAUCGGCCACAUUGGGACUGAGACACGGCCCAAACUCCUACGGGAGGCAGCAGUAGGGAAUCUUCCACAAUGGACGCAAGUCUGAUGGAGCAACGCCGCGUGAGUGAAGAAGGCUUUCGGGUCGUAAAACUCUGUUGUUGGAGAAGAAUGGUCGGCAGAGUAACUGUUGUCGGCGUGACGGUAUCCAACCAGAAAGCCACGGCUAACUACGUGCCAGCAGCCGCGGUAAUACGUAGGUGGCAAGCGUUAUCCGGAUUUAUUGGGCGUAAAGCGAGCGCAGGCGGUUUUUUAAGUCUGAUGUGAAAGCCCUCGGCUUAACCGAGGAAGCGCAUCGGAAACUGGGAAACUUGAGUGCAGAAGAGGACAGUGGAACUCCAUGUGUAGCGGUGAAAUGCGUAGAUAUAUGGAAGAACACCAGUGGCGAAGGCGGCUGUCUGGUCUGUAACUGACGCUGAGGCUCGAAAGCAUGGGUAGCGAACAGGAUUAGAUACCCUGGUAGUCCAUGCCGUAAACGAUGAAUGCUACGUGUUGGAGGGUUUCCGCCCUUCAGUGCCGCAGCUAACGCAUUAAGCAUUCCGCCUGGGGAGUACGACCGCAAGGUUGAACUCAAGGAAUUGACGGGGGCCCGCACAGCGAUGGAGCAUGUGGUUUAAUUCGCAGCGACGGCUAGAACCUUACCAGG